UACGUAGGGUCCGAGCGUUGUCCGGAAUUAUUGGGCGUAAAGGGCUCGUAGGCGGUCCGUCACGUCGGGAGUGAAAACUCAGGGCUCAACCCUGAGCGUGCUUCCGAUACGGGCGGACUAGAGGUAUGCAGGGGAGAACGGAAUUCCUGGUGUAGCGGUGGAAUGCGCAGAUAUCAGGAGGAACACCGAUGGCGAAGGCAGGUCUCUGGGCCAUAACUGACGCUGAGAAGCGAAAGCAUGGGGAGCGAACAGG
rnacentral:rRNA from 1 species